UAAAGUUGAAACACAUUUUGGAUGCACUAAUAUAAGAGUUGACAGAACUCUUAAGUUAUCAUAAGUAUUAUGAGUCAUAGGGAUGAAUUAUAUGGUAACCAUAGUCCAAGGGUUCUUGAAUAUUGCUUUGCAAUCAUUUAGCCUAUCCAGACGUCGAAUACCAUUGCUAGAUGGUCAUUUUGAUUAGUACAGAAAGUUAUUCUUGUGCUACUGACUUAGAUUCGAACCGAUAGGGUCACACGCAUAGAAGUUUCUAGGUUGAUCAAAUGGCUGAUCGACGAUUAAGAAUCGUCCAGAGGUACAUUGAUCAAUUCGAUUGACAAAUUACCUGUUGCCCAAGAAAACAACCCAAGAGGGGAGGGUGAAUUGGGUUUUCAGUAAUAAUUGCAAAUUAAAACUUAAUGAGUAACUAAUUAAGAUUAUUGCAGGCAGAUUAAUUAGAUUACUAGUAGUAGUGAGUGGAGAGGAUGGAAGAGACAAUGAACCAAUUACAAACACAAGAGGUUUUAUAGUGGUUUGGAGCUAACCCUUGCUCCUAUGUCCACUCCCCAAGCUUCACUUGGGAGUUCACUAUAAUCCCUAGGAUUACAGCCGGUUGUUUUACAAGUUCACAACUCAACUUGUUUUCACGAGAUCACAACGAACUCGGUCGGUUUUCACAGGCUCACCGACUAGAACCACCCGAUUGUUUUUCCGGGAUCACAAUCGAACCCUUACACCGUUGGUUUUUAACUUCGGCUCACCAACAAACCUUACAACCCUUGAUUCAAUCCCCUGAUUGAAUCAAGUAAGAAAAUAGUUUGGAAAAAGUUACAAGGAAAGCUUCUUAAUAAGCAAAUAUUAAACAAUAUGAAAAGAGAAGAGUUAGAAGCCCUCAAACAGAUUUUGGAAGAGAAAGAAAGGGGCUUCUCGAACUCUGAGUCUCCUCUUUGAAUGCGCUAAAGAUUUGAUAUCAGAAGGAGAGCCUUGAAUGCGAAGGAAAGAGUUUGUUGGAUGGAGUUCAAUGCGCU
rnacentral:lncRNA from 1 species